GGUAGCAGAUGUGCUGGGUCGCUUUGGAAGAUCAAGGACUAUAUUUGGAGUUGAAAUGGAUACACUAUUUUGGACCGUUCCUCCUAUUGAUGCUUUGUUUACUUUGUGCAAGGACCUUUAUGCACUACCAGAUAUUAGGCAAUUUUUGAUCGAUAAUUCUGGUCGAAAAAUGUUAUCGGAGUUUCGACGCCAUUUUUGACCACCAUGGUUGGACACUUGUUCACAUUUAGUUUGCCUUUUUUGUUUGUAAAUAUUCGACCACCUUUUCUACAAAAGUAGUAAGAAACUUUCGUGCGAAAACCUGCAAAAUUAGCUUCUGACGGUAAUAAUUGGUUAGGAAAGUCAAUUCUUUUCUUUGACCAACAAUUAAAAAAAUUAAGGUUCCAACUGAAGUUGUCGGACUUUUAUUUUUUUGAGAUCUGAUUUAUUAACGACGCUGAUUGAUCGACCCGAUUCGGUCUGUCAUUGUAAAAAUACAAAGUCUAAUUUAUUUUUUCAAAUCCAAUUCUGUUCUAUUUCAUUCUCCCUCUUUCCCCUCUCUAUAUCUCUCCUCUCUCUCUCUUACUCUCUCUCUACUUCUAAAAUUGCAACAGAGCUCUUUUUGUUACAUGUUGCAAUGACAAUCAGGAGGAACUUGGCAGAUCUUCGGCGGACUCCGGCGGCAACAACGACAAUGUAAUAUCUUCGGAAUGGAGUUUUGACGGUUCCAAUAGCUCUGUUGGUGAUUUUUGGACCUAGGAGAGUGUCCGGAUGUUGAUUUGGAGAUCCAGGUGUCGGACUGAGUUGUGGCUAGCUGUGAGGUGUUGUUGUGAGCAUUUUGGAGAGACGAGGUAGAGUUGCAUCCCGACCGUAGUCUUGGUGUCUCUUUUCCUUUUGUACUGUUAUUUUCAUUCAAACAGUAUCAAUAUUCUGUAUUCCAGACUUGUACUUUUUAUUAGAGCUCAUGACACUGUAUUACCAUUUCUUGAGCGUUAUUGUAUUUCAAAUCAGUUAUUCAUGUUAAUACCAUUAGACUUGUACUAUUUCUAUGCUA